GCAGUGGUGGCUCAGUGGUAGAGUUCUCACCUUCCAUGUGGAUGACCUGAGUUUGGGUCCCGGCCGAUACA
rnacentral:tRNA from 1 species